GGCAAGGUGGCCGAGCGGUCUAAGGCGCCACGUUAAGGAUCUUCCCUUAAUCCACACUUGGAUACUUCUCUUGAGGAAAGCAAACAAGUUCCGUGGUCUCGAAAGGGGCGUGAGUUCGAAUCUCACCCUUGUCA
rfam:Podospora anserina genomic DNA, chromosome 1.